rnacentral:tRNA from 1 species
GCUUUUAUAUUUUAAUUAGAAUUUUUAUUUUGUAAGUAGAAGGUUAUAAAAGUA